rnacentral:rRNA from 1 species
AUGGAGAAGGAACGGCGUCUGCAGGUGCAUGGGCGCAACAAGCGGCCUCGGGAGGAUCCUCUAGUGGACGAGGGUGAGCUCGCCCGUGAGCAGGAUCUUCGAUCUCAGCUCUCCUUGCGCUCUGAGGCACAGGCGCGGGUGGGGCGAGAUGCGUCGCUGGGUCGCGGCUCGCGGUCGCCGCGGCGCUCGUCGCUCAUGGCCGCGGCUCAUCGCGGGAGGCCUCCCCUCCACUUCCCCCUCCUCCCGGGCGCCCCCUGGCCAGUCCUUGCAGCCCUAGUCGGGCCGUCCUAUGUUGCUGGGCGCGUCUUCCGGGGCCUCGCGUGGAGGUGGGGUCGUGUUGCCCGGGGCGACAAGGAUGACCGCCACUCCUGGGACGGUGCGGGCGGGGCGGCUAGGCCGGUUCGGCAUCAGGCAGCAGGCGAGAGGGAUAUCUCGGAGGUGCUCUACUUCAAGUGUGGCCGGAAAGGGCACUUUCAGAUUGAGUGCGAGUUCGAUCCGUUGUGCUUUGUGUGCAAACAAGAGGGCCACACUUUGAGCCACUGCCCGACUCGUCAGGCCAAGCCGGAGCUUGUCAUGUACGGCUUUGGAGUGAAGGGGCAAGGGUUCUACCUGCUUGAGGGGGGAUGGAUGGAUGAAGAAGUUGAGCUGCCAACAAAUGCUACGUCUUUGGUGGUUACGUGA